rnacentral:rRNA from 2 species
AUAUUAGGUUAAGUUAUUAAGGGCGUAUGGUGGAUGCCUUGGCACUAGGAGCCGAUGAAGGACGUGACUAACUGCGAUAUGCUUCGGGGAGUUGUAAGUAAACUAUGAUCCGGAGAUUUCCGAAUGGGGAAACCUAACAGGUUUUACCGCCUGUUAUCACUAAGUGAAUUCAUAGCUUAGUUGAAGGUAGACGUGGGGAACUGAAACAUCUAAGUACCCACAGGAAGAGAAAGAAAUUCGAUUCCCUCAGUAGCGGCGAGCGAACCGGGAAGAGCCCAAACUAAGAAGCUUGCUUCUUAGGGUUGUAGGACUGAACAUCUGAGUUACCAAGAA